rnacentral:rRNA from 1 species
UACGGGGGGGGCAAGCGUUGUUCGGAAUUACUGGGCGUAAAGGGCUCGUAGGCGGCCAACUAAGUCAGACGUGAAAUCCCUCGGCUUAACCGGGGAACGGCCUCUGAUACUGGCUGGCUGGAGUUCGGGAGAGGGAUGCGGAAUUCCAGGUGUAGCGGUGAAAUGCGUAGAUAUCUGGAGGAACACCGGUGGCGAAGGCGGCCUGCUGGGCAGUAGCUGACACUGAGGCGCGACAGCGUGGGGAGCAAACAGG